rnacentral:lncRNA from 1 species
CAAUCACACACGUCUUUCAUCCCUAACUACUCCCAUCUUUCUGCCCUCUUUGGGGAUUCUUCCCUCCAAUUAGGACAUGAUCCCUCCCACCUCUCUUUGGUUCCGUCUUCUCUCAGUAAUUCCUUACUUCUGGCUUCCUGACUACUUUUCAUUUCCCUUCACUGCUCAUUUCAGGAGUCAUCUCCUUCAACAAGGCAUCUCGAAUCCAUCUGAAUCACCUUCCAUCCCUCUUAAAGCAUCCUUCAUAACCGAUUGCAAUUCCUUGCUUAUCUACUUAAGCUACCAGACUGAGACCACCUCAAAGGCAGGGAUCGUGGCAUCCAUCUUUGUGCAUCCAGCUUCCAGUGUGAAUCUUCUGUGAGAAAUGGCUCCCAACCGCAGAAACCCGACUCAAAGUCACAGAUAUCUGCUGAAGGCACCAUUCUAAUUUCCCCAACAAGGCAAUGGUGUGAAAUGGCAAUGAGAUCGAUGAGUGUGAAAAUGGAAAGUACCAUAUGACUGAUGCAUCCCACACCCUCACCCAGACUCUUCAUAAUUGAGCUAGUCGCUCAACCGCAAAGACAUAAAGAAAGAAGCUCUCAAGAUAAAAGCCACUUUUGAUUGUAUAAAUGUUGAAAUUUGGCUUUAGGACAAAAGUUCAAACCAUUUCUUUCAUUACCUAGAUGUUUUAUUGGUUAAAAAAUGUCAAUCAUUGUGCUUUUUACAGAAUGCUAAACACCACCAUCCUUUGAAAAAUGAAAAUUAGCUUUCAAAAUCCGUCACCAUAAAGAUGUGUGAAAGCAACAUGGUGACAUGGUGCAACCACCUCUGUAAGAACCUUGGUGAAUUGAUUGGCUGUUUUUACUAAUGUGUUCCUGUACACGUAAAAGAAUAUUUUUUAAAGCUAAAAGUUCAAGAACUUCACUGUACUGUAAAAUAUAAAUCAAAUUCCGGUAACUAAAUUGAAGUUCUUCCAUUAAUAUCUCCCCUGUGUAAUUCAAAAACUUUAAAGUGAACUUAUAAAUAUCUGAAGAAAGCCGGGAGAGUCAAAUGCAUUCUGGCAAUUAUUAAAUGUCUUAUCAUACUAUAUGUGUUAAAUGUAAACAUUUGCAAAAUCUAAAAAAAUCUAUUCAUGUUAUAAAUAAAGUACUUUCAUUAAAACAAUGAUUUUGAUUACUUAGUUGCCUUUAUUUUAACUUUCUGUGAUUACAGAAUACGCUUCACCAUCUCUAAGCGCAGUAUGAGAUAUGGCGCUGUUCACAGUUUUAGAGAAAUUUUACUCAGAGUUCAUCAGUUAAAGUAAUAUUUUAAGAUUAUGACAAAGCUUUCUCUUGCAUAUUUAACCACUGCAGCAUAUGGGCAGACAAGAAAGAAUUUCAUUGUUCAGCUGAGAAAAAAUCUGGAUCAUGAAAAGUAAAAUAUUUUAUGAAUCCUCUAGAAGUUAAUCAGCUCUCUGUGAAAUAAGAAACAAAAAGCUAUGUAUGGGAAAUGAAUGGGGAAUAUUUCAUUUAAUGAGAAUAUAUUAGAUUUUAACAGGAUUACAUUAUAAAUAUUUUGUUAAUAUGUAUUGGAAACCCACACAGAUCAUUGCUACACUAAAUAUUUUUAUAUUGGUAUUUCCUUU